rnacentral:rRNA from 1 species
CGAAAGUUACGCUAAUACCGCAUAUUCUGUGAGCAGGAAAGCGAGGGGAUCGCAAGACCUUGCGCUGAUUGAGCGGCCGAUAUCAGAUUAGCUAGUUGGUGAGGUAAAGGCUCACCAAGGCGACGAUCUGUAGCGGGUCUGAGAGGAUGAUCCGCCACACUGGAACUGAGACACGGUCCAGACUCCGUACGGGAGGCAGCAGUGGGGAAUUUUGGACAAUGGGCGCAAGCCUGAUCCAGCCAUGCCGCGUGAGUGAAGAAGGCCUUCGGGUUGUAAAGCUCUUUCGGCCGGGAAGAAAUCGCACAGGUUAAUACCCUGUGUGGAUGACGGUACCGGAAUAAGAAGCACCGGCUAACUACGUG